CCUACGGGUGGCUGCAGUGGGGAAUAUUGGACAAUGGGCGAAAGCCUGAUCCAGCCAUGCCGCGUGUGUGAAGAAGGCCUUCGGGUUGUAAAGCACUUUCAGUGGGGAAGAAAGCCUUGGGGCUAAUACCCUCGAGGAAGGACAUCACCCACAGAAGAAGCACCGGCUAACUCCGUGCCAGCAGCCGCGGUAAUACGGAGGGUGCGAGCGUUAAUCGGAAUUACUGGGCGUAAAGCGCGCGUAGGCGGUCUGAUAAGCCGGUUGUGAGAGCCCCGGGCUCAACCUGGGAACGGCAUCCGGAACUGUCAGGCUAGAGUGCAGGAGAGGAAGGUAGAAUUCCCGGUGUAGCGGUGAAAUGCGUAGAGAUCGGGAGGAAUACCAGUGGCGAAGGCGGCCUUCUGGACUGACACUGACGCUGAGGUGCGAAAGCGUGGGUAGCAAACAGGAUUAGAUACCCCAGUAGUC
rnacentral:rRNA from 1 species